rnacentral:rRNA from 3 species
GGACUACAAGGGUUUCUAAUCCCGUUUGCUCCCCUAGCUUUCGAGCCUCAGCGUCAGAAAAGAUCCAGCACGCCGCUUUCGCCACCGGAGUUCCUGUAGAUAUCAACGCAUUUCACCGCUCCACCUACAGUUCCGCAUGCCCCUAUCUUCCUCGAGGCCGUCAGUAUCUGAGGCAGUUCCACGGUUGAGCCGCGGCAUUUCACCCCAGACUUGAUAGCCCGCCUACGCUCCCUUUAAGCCCAGUGAUUCCGAACAACGUUCGCACGGUUCGUCUUACCGCGGCUGCUGGCAC